GACGAACGCUGGCGGCGUGCUUAACACAUGCAAGUCGAACGGAAAGGCCCUGCUUUUGUGGGGUGCUCGAGUGGCGAACGGGUGAGUAACACGUGAGCAACCUGCCCUUGACUUUGGGUUAACUUCAGGAAACUGGGGCUAAUACCGGAUAGGAGCUCCUGCUGCAUGGUGGGGGUUGGAAAGUUUCGGCGGUUGGGGAUGGACUCGCGGCUUAUCAGCUUGUUGGUGGGGUAGUGGCUUACCAAGGCUUUGACGGGUAGCCGGCCUGAGAGGGUGACCGGCCACAUUGGGACUGAGAUACGGCCCAGACUCCUACGGGAGGCAGCAGUGGGAAUAUUGCACAAUGGGCGGAAGCCUGAUGCAGCAACGCCGCGUGCGGGAUGACGGCCUUCGGGUUGUAAACCGCUUUCGCCUGUGACGAAGCGUGAGUGACGGUAAUGGGUAAAGAAGCACCGGCUAACUACGUG
rnacentral:rRNA from 1 species